rnacentral:misc_RNA from 1 species
UGCGGCCCGACUUGACCACGAC